rnacentral:rRNA from 1 species
AGAGUUUGAUCCUGGCUCAGAUUGAACGCUGGCGGCAUGCCUUACACAUGCAAGUCGAACGCGAAAGGGGGGCAACCCCCAAGUAGAGUGGCGAACGGGUGAGUAACACAUCGGAACGUGCCCAGUAGUGGGGGACAACCUCGAGAAAUCGAGGCUAAUACCGCAUACGACCCACGGGUGAAAGCGGGGGACCGCAAGGCCUCGCGCUAUUGGAGCGGCCGAUGUCCGAUUAGCUAGUUGGCGGGGUAAGAGCCCACCAAGGCGACGAUCGGUAGCUGGUCUGAGAGGACGACCAGCCACACUGGGACUGAGACACGGCCCAGACUCCUACGGGAGGCAGCAGUGGGGAAUUUUGGACAAUGGGCGCAAGCCUGAUCCAGCCAUGCCGCGUGCGGGAAGAAGGCCUUCGGGUUGUAAACCGCUUUCGGCCGGAACGAAAUCGCCCGGGUGAACAUCCCGGGUGGAUGACGGUACCGAAGAAGAGA